rnacentral:rRNA from 1 species
AUUGAACGCUGGCGGCAUGCCUUACACAUGCAAGUCGAACGGCAGCACGGGUGCUUGCACCUGGUGGCGAGUGGCGAACGGGUGAGUAAUACAUCGGAACGUACCUUAUCGUGGGGGAUAACGCAGCGAAAGCUGUGCUAAUACCGCAUACGCCCUGAGGGGGAAAGCGGGGGAUCGCAAGACCUCGCGCGAUUAGAGCGGCCGAUGCCUGAUUAGCUAGUUGGUGGGGUAAAAGCCCACCAAGGCGACGAUCAGUAGCUGGUCUGAGAGGACGAUCAGCCACACUGGGACUGAGACACGGCCCAGACUCCUACGGGAGGCAGCAGUGGGGAAUUUUGGACGAUGGGGGCAACCCUGAUCCAGCGAUGCCGCGUGAGUGAAGAAGGCCUUUGGGUUGUAAAGCUCUUUUGUCAGGGAAGAAACACCGGCUCUAACACAGUCCGGGAAUGACGGUACCUGAAGAAUAAGUACCGGCUAACUACGUGCCAGCCGCCGCAGUAA